rnacentral:rRNA from 1 species
GAUGAACGCUGGCGGCGUGCCUAAUACAUGCAAGUCGAGCGAACGGACGAGAAGCUUGCUUCUCUGAUGUUAGCGGCGGACGGGUGAGUAACACGUGGAUAACCUACCUAUAAGACUGGGAUAACUUCGGGAAACCGGAGCUAAUACCGGAUAAUAUUUUGAACCGCAUGGUUCAAAAGUGAAAGACGGUCUUGCUGUCACUUAUAGAUGGAUCCGCGCUGCAUUAGCUAGUUGGUAAGGUAACGGCUUACCAAGGCAACGAUGCAUAGCCGACCUGAGAGGGUGAUCGGCCACACUGGAACUGAGACACGGUCCAGACUCCUACGGGAGGCAGCAGUAGGGAAUCUUCCGCAAUGGGCGAAAGCCUGACGGAGCAACGCCGCGUGAGUGAUGAAGGUCUUCGGAUCGUAAAACUCUGUUAUUAGGGAAGAACAUAUGUGGAAGUAACUGUGCACAUCUUGACGGUACCUAGUCAGAAAGCCACGGCUAACUACGUG